GCUCCUGUGGCUUAGUGGCAGAGCGUUGGUCUAGUAAAUCAAAGGUCGUGAGUUCAAUUCUCACCGGGAGCA
rfam:Clunio marinus genome assembly, contig: CLTMA_superscaffold_13